ACGUAGGUGGCGAGCGUUGUACGGAAUUAUUGGGCGUAAAGCGCGCGCAGGUGGGAUAGUAAGUCUUUUGUAAAAGCACGGGGCUCAACCCCGUAAUGCGAAGGAUACUGCUAUUCUUGAGUACAGGAGAGGAUAGCGGAAUUCCCAGUGUAGCGGUGAAAUGCGUAGAUAUUGGGAGGAACACCAGUGGCGAAGGCGGCUUUCUGGGCUGUGUCUGACACUGAGGCGCGAAAGCCAGUGGAGCGAACGG
rnacentral:rRNA from 1 species